rnacentral:lncRNA from 1 species
GUAAAUUCAAGAGGGGGCAUCGACUCUUCAACCUUGUAUAAUAAAAUCUUUCUUUGAAAAACGCUCUCUCAUAUACUCUUACUCUCUCAAAAAUAUCAAAAGGUCUAGCAUCAACUACGAAACUAAUGGAGCAAAAUAAGGUACGCAAUUCUAUGACAAGCUAAAUUUUCUAUGGCAAGGUUUUAGGAAAGUAGUAAUAAUACUAAAAUGAUAAUGAUNN